UACGGGGGGGGGCAAGCGUUGUUCGGAAUUACUGGGCGUAAAGGGCGCGUAGGCGGCCUUCUAAGUCAGACGUGAAAUCCCUCGGCUCAACCGAGGAACUGCGUCUGAUACUGGAAGGCUUGAAUCCGGGAGAGGGAUGUGGAAUUCCAGGUGUAGCGGUGAAAUGCGUAGAUAUCUGGAGGAACACCGGUGGCGAAGGCGGCAUCCCGGACCGGUAUUGACGCUGAGGCGCGAAAGCUAGGGGAGCAAACAGG
rnacentral:rRNA from 1 species